UACGUAGGGGGCAAGCGUUGUCCGGAAUCAUUGGGCGUAAAGCGCGUGUAGGCGGCUCGAUAAGUCUGCUGUGAAAGUCCAGGGCUCAACCCUGGGAUGCCGGUGGAUACUGUCGAGCUUGAGUCCGGAAGAGGCGAGUGGAAUUCCUGGUGUAGCGGUGAAAUGCGCAGAUAUCAGGAGGAACACCUAUGGCGAAGGCAGCUCGCUGGGACGUGACUGACGCUGAGGAGCGAAAGCGUGGGGAGCGAACAGG
rnacentral:rRNA from 1 species